rnacentral:rRNA from 1 species
UACGAAGGGGGCAAGCGUUGUUCGGAAUUACUGGGCGUAAAGGGCGCGUAGGCGGCCGAUCAAGUCAGGCGUGAAAUUCCCGGGCUCAACCUGGGGGCUGCGCUUGAUACUGAUUGGCUUGAAUGCGGGAGAGGAUAGUGGAAUCCCCAGUGUAGAGGUGAAAUUCGUAGAUAUUGGGAAGAACACCGGUGGCGAAGGCGGCUAUCUGGCCCGUAAUUGACGCUGAGGCGCGAAAGCGUGGGGAGCAAACAGG